AAAAUGCGAUACUUGGUGUGAAUUGCAGAAUCCCGUGAACCAUCGAGUUUUUGAACGCAAGUUGCGCCCGAAGCCAUCCGGUUGAGGGCACGCCUGCCUGGGCGUCACGCAUCGCGUCGCUCCCCACCAUGCUUCCCCAACGGGUUGUGAUGGUGUUAGGGGCGGAUAGUGGCCUCCCGUUCUUUUGUUUCGGUUGGCCUAAAUAGGAGUUCCCUUCAGCGGACACACGACUAGUGGUGGUUGAAAAGACCUUCGUCUUGGGUUGUGUGUCGUGAGCUGUGAGGGAAGCCCUCAUCAAUGACCCCUUUGUAUCGUCUUUGGACGGUGCUUCAUCGAUGCUCCAUUGCGGUA
rnacentral:misc_RNA from 1 species